GCCCGACGGAAGACAGCUGUGCGCGCCGCUUCCUCCCUCUCGGACCUGGGCAGCCUGCGGCAGACCGGACCGCGACCGCUGGGCGCAGCUCGGCCCGGGAGCGUUCGAGUCCCGCCGCCAGAGCAUCCUCCCGGCCCGGCGCACAGGUGGUGUAGCCAUAAACUGGAAAGAGCCUGGAUCCCAGCUUGGAAGGGAACAGCCUUGAAAAGUUGGCUGACCUAAAGACUUUAUCACUCUACUGAACAGGACCCAAGAAGAUGCCAUACUGAUACUGUCCUGUGUGGCCAAAAAAUCCACAGAAAAUACUCUUGCAUCAUUUUCCCUGGUAAUCUCUGGAAUAAAAGCUGGUUCCAAUGUGGCAGUGCUCUCAAGGCUCUGAUUCCCUAAACUGCCGAGACCAGCUCAGCAGGAUGGGGCUGAAGAACAGAUGUCAGCUCUCUCCUUGAUAUCUUCUGACUGCAGACUGCAGACAGUAAAAUACCUCCAAGGGGUAUCCUGGAAGAGCCCUCACUAGAAUUGAGCCUUAGAGGCUACGUGUCAAAGUUGGAAGAAGCCUGGCCCCUGAAUCGGUGCUCGGCAGAGAGCCUACUUCAGAGGAAGGAGAUUUGGAGACAAGUGAGGAACGUCUGUAUUCCUGUAUCGCAGGUGGAAUGAAGCUCAGCAGCCUUCUAGCUGUUACUGCCCUUUCACAUAGGAGCAAAGUAAAGCCUGGAAUGACUGAAUGACUUGACUAGCUUGACAUAGCAGAGACCCUGGGCCUACUGAUCUUUUUUCUAUGCAAGAGCAGAUACAUCCCCGCCAAGCCAAUCCUGGUGAGACCUGGACUGAGGAAGGGGAAAGUUGCUGAAAGAAUGUCGUGGCAGGAAGAGAAAAGAAUGAAGAUUCACAGUGGAGACCAUGAGGCAAUAAUUCCACUUUACUCCAUCUAA
rnacentral:lncRNA from 9 species